AAAGUCGUAACCAAGGUUUCCGUAGGUGAACCUGCGGAAGGAUCAUUACCUAGAGUUGUAGGCUUUGCCUGCUAUCUCUUACCCAUGUCUUUUGAGUACCUUCGUUUCCUCGGCGGGUCCGCCCGCCGAUUGGACAAUUUAAACCAUUUGCAGUUGCAAUCAGCGUCUGAAAAAACUUAAUAGUUACAACUUUCAACAACGGAUCUCUUGGUUCUGGCAUCGAUGAAGAACGCAGCGAAAUGCGAUAAGUAGUGUGAAUUGCAGAAUUCAGUGAAUCAUCGAAUCUUUGAACGCACAUUGCGCCCCUUGGUAUUCCAUGGGGCAUGCCUGUUCGAGCGUCAUUUGUACCUUCAAGCUCUGCUUGGUGUUGGGUGUUUUGUCUCGCCUCCGCGCGCAGACUCGCCUUAAAACAAUUGGCAGCCGGCGUAUUGAUUUCGGAGCGCAGUACAUCUCGCGCUUUGCACUCAUAACGACGACGUCCAAAAGUACAUUUUUACACUCUUGACCUCGGAUCGGGUAGGGAUACCCGC
rnacentral:rRNA from 1 species